CGGGGGGAGCAAGCGUUGUUCGGAUUUACUGGGCGUAAAGGGCGCGUAGGCGGCCACCGCAAGUCGACUGUGAAAUCUCCGGGCUUAACCCGGAACGGUCAGCCGAUACUGCGGGGCUAGAGUGCAGAAGGGGCAACUGGAAUUCUCGGUGUAGCGGUGAAAUGCGUAGAUAUCGAGAGGAACACCUGCGGCGAAGGCGGGUUGCUGGGCUGACACUGACGCUGAGGCGCGAAAGCUAGGGGAGCGAACGGGAUUAGAUACCCCGGUAGUCCUAGCCUUGAACGAUGAAUGCUUGGUGUCUGGGGUUUUAUAGUCCCCGGGUGCCGUCGCUAACGCUUUAAGCAUUCCGCCUGGGGAGUACGGUCGCAAGACUG
rnacentral:rRNA from 1 species